rnacentral:rRNA from 1 species
AGUGGCGAACGGGUGAGUAAAGUAUCGGAACGUGCCCAGUCGUGGGGGAUAACGUAGCGAAAGUUACGCUAAUACCGCAUACGAUCUAUGGAUGAAAGCGGGGGAUCGCAAGACCUCGCGCGAUUGGAGCGGCCGAUAUCAGAUUAGGUAGUUGGUGGGGUAAAGGCUCACCAAGCCGACGAUCUGUAGCUGGUCUGAGAGGACGACCAGCCACACUGGGACUGAGACACGGCCCAGACUCCUACGGGAGGCAGCAGUGGGGAAUUUUGGACAAUGGGCGCAAGCCUGAUCCAGCCAUGCCGCGUGCAGGAUGAAGGCCUUCGGGUUGUAAACUGCUUUUGUACGGAACGAAAAGGUUUGGCCUAAUAAGCUGAGCUCAUGACGGUACCGUAAGAAUAAGCACCGGCUAACUACGUGCCAGCAGCCGCGGUAAUACGUAGGGUGCGAGCGUUAAUCGGAAUUACUGGGGCGUAAAGCGUGCGCAGGCGGUUAUGUAAGACAGAUGUGAAAUCCCCGGGCUCAACCUGGGAACUGCAUUAGUGACUGCAUAGCUGGAGUACGGCAGAGGGGGAUGGAAUUCCGCGUGUAGCAGUGAAAUGCGUAGAUAUGCGGAGGAACACCGAUGGCGAAGCAAUCCCCUGGGCCUGUACUGACGCUCAUGCACGAAAGCGUGGG